AGGGGAAGCAUCAAUGGGCUCAAUGAAGUCUGCAGCUAGCAUGCCCUGUAGUUCAGUGGUGACCUUGUCGCGCAUGGCGAGAGGCACUCGUCGCAGCGGCUGGAUUACAGGCGGUAUAUCUGGGUUAAGCAGGGGUUUGUGGGAAAAAGCAGAGAGGCAGCCUAAACCACUGAAUAGAGCGGGAAACUGUGUCUGCCAUGGAGAGUCCACCUGAAGGAUGGUUGCACCGCUGUUGUCAUGCAGAGAAAAGUCAAGGCUAAGGAACAGGUCAAGACCCAGGAUAUUAGUGCCAUGCGGAGUUAUGUAAAAUGGAAACUCUGGUAGACGUUUUUGCCCAUAUUGUACUGGCAGUUUAACUACUCCAGUCACUGCAAUGCUGGCUUGGCCAUAACCACAGAGCUUCAGAGGCAGUGAUGUA